CGAGUAGGCCGGGUGGUCGCGGGCUUCGGCGUGGUGCCGGAGCCUGAGGAAAGUCCGAGCUCCGCAGGGCAGGGUGCUGGGUAACGCCCAGUGGGGGCGACCCCAAGGAAAGUGCCACAGAAACAGACCGCCGGCGGCCCCAAUGCCGCCGGUAAGGGUGGAAAGGUGAGGCAAGAGCUCACCAGCGGCGAGAGCGAUCCGCCGGCUCGGUAAACCCCACCCGGAGCAAGACCGAAUAGGGGAAUAAUGGAGUGGCCCGCUCCGUUCCCGGGUCAGGUCGCCGGAGGCGGCAGGCAACUGCCGUCCCAGAUAGAUGACCAUCCUCGACAGAACUCGGCUUACAGGCCUGCUCGGUCG
rnacentral:RNase_P_RNA from 1 species